UACGUAGGGUGCGAGCGUUGUCCGGAAUUACUGGGCGUAAAGAGCUCGUAGGUGGUUUGUCGCGUUGUUCGUGAAAUUCCCUGGCUUAACUGGGGGCGUGCGGGCGAUACGGGCGGACUCGAGUUCGGCAGGGGAGACUGGAAUUCCUGGUGUAGCGGUGAAAUGCGCAGAUAUCAGGAGGAACACCGGUGGCGAAGGCGGGUCUCUGGGCCGAUACUGACGCUGAGGAGCGAAAGCGUGGGGAGCGAACAGG
rnacentral:rRNA from 1 species